AGCUGGUCUGAUGGUAGUGUAUUAUUGGAGCUCAUUAACAUUUGUGUCACUAAAUUUGGUUUACAACGCCCCAGUGAUAAAGUUAACUGGCUUAUA
rnacentral:Y_RNA from 1 species